UUUGCAAUUCAAGUUUUUAUAAGAUUGGAAGAGCACAAAAUUAUCUCUUCAUUGAUAUCAUACAAUUUAUUCACCAUCUCGAACAAGUGAAAACAGAACCGCAUUUCACUCUCCAUUUUUCUGCUUGAGUUAUUCAAAGUGGUAUACUAUUAAGUUUCAUCUGGGAUGUAACCCCUAUGCCAACAAUUAGAUGGAAAAAAGAUGGGAUGGGGAGUCCAUUGAAGAGUUUACCAAAUGAAAAAAUGGAUAGACUCCUAAGGUUCCAAUUAUAGGAAAACAAGGGAGCUAUGAAUGAAUUAAACUUGUCAACGGAGAUCUUGGACUCCCAAAUUUGGAGUAUCUUACUUUCACGCAAUUCAUAGGGUUAAAGUAAUGACAUAGACGGAAUCGGAAAGAGGGAAAAGAAAAAUGCAUAAUCCAUCAUAUCAACAAGGUAUGCAUCCAUAAAACAUGGUUAACAGGGUGGUAUCCUACUAAAUUUAAGUGAAUAUGAACAACAUGAAAAACAAAAAAAUGAAGCAUAUCAACAUAACAGACAAAUAAUAGCAUAUAAAACUUACGGUCACUGGGAUCUCUUGCAAUG
rnacentral:misc_RNA from 1 species